rnacentral:rRNA from 1 species
GAUGAACGCUGGCGGCGUGCCUAAUACAUGCAAGUCGAGCGAACAGACGAGGAGCUUGCUCCUCUGACGUUAGCGGCGGACGGGUGAGUAACACGUGGAUAACCUACCUAUAAGACUGGGAUAACUUCGGGAAACCGGAGCUAAUACCGGAUAAUAUAUUGCACCGCAUGGUUCAAUAGUGAAAGACGGUUUUGCUGUCACUUAUAGAUGGAUCCGCGCCGCAUUAGGUAGUUGGUAAGGUAACGGCUUACCAAGGCAACGGUGCGUAGCCGACCUGAGAGGGGUAGCGGCCACAAGGGAGCGAAGGCACGGACUGGACUCGAACGGCAGGAAGCAGUAGUGAAUGAGCCGCAAGGGGGGAAGGCCGAACGAGGCACCGCCGCGUGAGGGAUGAAGGUCUUGGGAUCGAAAACCUCUGUUAGUAGGAAAGAACAAAUGGGCAAGUAACUAUGCACAUUUUGGCGAAACCGAAACAAAACGCCGCGGCAAACUACG